CCAUGGACAGUACAAUAAGGGCGUGGGAAGUCGAUACUUUACAGUGUAUUCACACGCUCAAUGGUCAUGCCGAUGCUGUGAUGUCCCUUAUAUGCUGGGAUGAGUAUUUGUUGUCUUGUUCAUUAGACCGGACAAUAAAAGUCUGGGCCUCUACUGAAGAGGGGAACAUAGAGGUGAUCUAUACACAUGAGAUGGAGCAUGGUGCUAUUGCUUUUUGCGGGCUGCCUGACGCAGAAGACAAACCGGUUUUAUUUUGCUCUUGCAAUGACAAUUGUAUUUACCUAUACGAUCUACCAUCAUUCAACGAGAGGGGUAGGAUUUUCUCGAAAGGAGAAGUGAGAACAAUCGAGACAGGUCCUGGUGGUCUUUUUUUCACUGGUGAUGGAACAGGAUUGCUUAAUGUUUGGAAGUUGGCUGAAUCACAUGGAAGAGUUCUACAAGUAGCUUAGCAGUUAUGUACUUUGUACUCGGUUCUUAAAUAGAGAAAAUCCUACCCCUCUCGUUGAAG
rnacentral:misc_RNA from 1 species